rnacentral:rRNA from 1 species
AUGGGGUGCGGCUUCUCGUCGGGGGCGUCGGGCGGCGGGGGCGGGCUGCGGCCGUUCGCGGGGGUGCGGGUGAUCCACACCAACGGCUACGUGGAGGACUUCCCCGCCGGCGAGGGCGGGGCGCCCGUCACCGUCGCGCGCGCCACGGCCUCCUCGCCCUCGUCCUGCCGCUACGUGCUGUGCUCGUCGGCGCACCUGCUGCAGCCGGGCCGCGCGCUGUUCCGGCCGGACGACGCGCUGCAGCCGGGCACCGUCUACUUCCUGCUCCCGCACUCCAUCUUCCAGGCCGAGUCCUCCGCCGUGGACCUCGCCUGCCUCAUGAACCGCCUCACCGCGCUCGCGCGCAAGGGCGGCGGCCCCGCGCCCAGCGCCGUCGACGCGCUCUUCUCCGGCGACGCCCAGCGCCGCGGCAGCCCCGAGGCCGAGGGCCAGACCGCCAAGCCGCCCCGCCCCGCCGCCAAGAGCUGCGCCGCCGCCGCCGCCUCAGCGGGGCCGUGGCGGCCGCGGCUCGACCGGAUCGACGAGUCCAUGGGCCGCUCGUCCAUGCGGAGCGCGUCUACCCUGAGCAACCGCAGCAGCCAGGACUAG